UACAUGUGGGGCAAGCGUUGUUCGGAAUUACUGGGCGUAAAGCGUGCGCAGGCGGUGAUGUAAGACAGAUGUGAAAUCCCCGGGCUCAACUUGGGAACUGCAUUUGUGACUGCAUCGCUGGAGUGCGGCAGAGGGGGAUGGAAUUCCGCGUGUAGCAGUGAAAUGCGUAGAUAUGCGGAGGAACACCGAUGGCGAAGGCAAUCCCCUGGGCCUGCACUGACGCUGAGGCACGAAAGCGUGGGGAGCAAACAGG
rnacentral:rRNA from 1 species